rnacentral:tRNA from 3 species
GGCACUGUACGCUUAAUGGUAAAGUCGGUGUAAACCCCUGAGGGGAGCAUGUAUGCAGGUUCGACUCCUGCCGGUGCCU